UUAACUCUCUUUAGACUUUGUUAACAAGAAAAUAGUGAGGGCAAACCCUAAAUUUGGUUUGGGGUUUUUCUAUAAUUCGUCGGCAUUUUAAAGAGGGAGACAAGGAAGGGCCCGUACUUUGCUCGAGCUUUUUAAGGACCUUUGUUGGUUUGAGUAAUGGGUCGUCUUUCUUUUAUGAUAAAAUGGUUCCGCCUGCACAAGCCGUUGAAGCUGUUAAUUUCCCUUUGGGUGUUGUUUUCGGUUCAACAGCACACGGUUUGGGGUUCCGAUGCGGAUAAAUCUGCUCUGCUGGAGUUCAAGGGUUCAAUUUCAGACCCUUCUGGAGUGCUGGCCAGCUGGAAUUUAAACAGCCAAAAUCACUGCUCCUGGUUAGGGGUUUCUUGCGAUUCGGGUUUUCGGGUCGUGGCGUUGAAUAUUACUGGUGGAGGUAAUUCUUUGUCUUGUGCUAGAAUUUCUCAAUUUCCACUUUAUGGGUUUGGAAUUAGAAGGCCUUGUCAGGAUAGCAAUAGUAAAGUUGAAAUCUUGGGUAUAUUACCCCCUUCAAUUGCGAAACUUACAGAACUUAAGAUUUUGUCGCUGCCUUUCAAUGAAUUGAGUGGUGAGAUUCCUGUUGAAAUUUGGGGUAUGGAAAAGCUUGAGGUUUCAUUUUAAAGAGGGAGACAAGGAAGGGCCCGUACUUUGCUCGAGCUUUUUAAGGACCUUUGUUGGUUUGAGUAAUGGGUCGUCUUUCUUUUAUGAUAAAAUGGUUCCGCCUGCACAAGCCGUUGAAGCUGUUAAUUUCCCUUUGGGUGUUGUUUUCGGUUCAACAGCACACGGUUUGGGGUUCCGAUGCGGAUAAAUCUGC
rnacentral:lncRNA from 1 species